AGAGUUUGAUCCUGGCUCAGAAUCAACGCUGGCGGCGCGCUUAACACAUGCAAGUCGCACGAGAAAGCAGUAGCAAUACUGUGAGUAAAGUGGCGUACGGGUGAGUAACACGUGGAUCAUCUACCUUCUAGUGGGGAAUACCCCCGGGAAACUGGGGACAAUACCGCAUAAGCUCGAAAGAGGAAAGCAGCAAUGCGCUGGAAGAGGAGUCCGCGGCUGAUUAGCUAGUUGGCGGGGUAAUGGCCCACCAAGGCGAAGAUCGGUAGCCGGCCUGAGAGGGCACACGGCCACACUGGCACUGAAACACGGGCCAGACUCCUACGGGAGGCAGCAGUGGGGAAUCUUGCACAAUGGAGGAAACUCUGAUGCAGCGACGCCGCGUGAGCGAUGAAGCCCUUCGGGGUGUAAAGCUCUUUCGACGGGAACGAUAAUGACGGUACCCGAAGAAGAAGCUGCGGCUAACUACGUGCCAGCAGCCGCGGUAAUACGUAGGCAGCAAGCGUUGUUCGGAAUUACUGGGCGUAAAGAGUGUGUAGGCGGUGCUCCAAGUCUGUUGUGAAAUCUCCCGGCUUAACUGGGAGGGUGCGGCGGAAACUGGAAUGCUAGAGGAUGGGAGAGGUAAGCGGAAUUCCUGGUGUAGCGGUGAAAUGCGUAGAUAUCAGGAGGAACACCUGUGGUGUAGACAGCUUACUGGACCAUUUCUGACGCUGAGACACGAAAGCGUGGGUAGCAAACAGGAUUAGAUACCCUGGUAGUCC
rnacentral:rRNA from 1 species